rnacentral:rRNA from 2 species
UCAUAGUGAUCCGGUGGUUCUGAAUGGAAGGGCCAUCGCUCAACGGAUAAAAGGUACUCCGGGGAUAACAGGCUGAUACCGCCCAAGAGUUCAUAUCGACGGCGGUGUUUGGCACCUCGAUGUCGGCUCAUCACAUCCUGGGGCUGAAGUAGGUCCCAAGGGUAUGGCUGUUCGCCAUUUAAAGUGGUACGCGAGCUGGGUUUAGAACGUCGUGAGACAGUUCGGUCCCUAUCUGCCGUGGGCGCUGGAGAACUGAGGGGGGCUGCUCCUAGUACGAGAGGACCGGAGUGGACGCAUCACUGGUGUUCGGGUUGUCAUGCCAAUGGCACUGCCCGGUAGCUAAAUGCGGAAGAGAUAAGUGCUGAAAGCAUCUAAGCACGAAACUUGCCCCGAGAUGAGUUCUCCCUGACUCCUUGAGAGUCCUGAAGGAACGUU